CCUUACCUGGGCUUAAAUGUAGACUGACAGAUUGGGAAACCAGUCCUUCUUCGGACAGUUUACAAGGUGCUGCAUGGUUGUCGUCAGCUCGUGCCGUGAGGUGUCGGGUUAAGUCCCAUAACGAGCGCAACCCCUAUUCUUAGUUGCCAGCGGUUCGGCCGGGGACUCUAAGAAAACUGCCCGCGCAAGCGGUGAGGAAGGUGGGGAUGACGUCAAAUCAUCACGGCCCUUACGUCCAGGGCUACACACGUGCUACAAUGGUGUUGACAAAGGGCAGCUACACUGCGAAGUGAUGCUAAUCUCUAAACAACAUCUCAGUUCGGAUCGCAGUCUGCAACUCGACUGCGUGAAGCUGGAAUCGCUAGUAAUCGCGCAUCAGCCAUGGCGCGGUGAAUACGUUCCC
rnacentral:rRNA from 1 species